rnacentral:rRNA from 1 species
GAUGAACGCUAGCUACAGGCUUAACACAUGCAAGUCGAGGGGAAACGACAUCGAAAGCUUGCUUUCGAUGGGCGUCGACCGGCGCACGGGUGAGUAACGCGUAUCCAACCUGCCCACCACUUGGGGAUAACCUUGCGAAAGUAAGACUAAUACCCGAUGAUAUCUCUAGAAGACAUCUGAAAGGGAUUAAAGAUUUAUCGGUGAUGGAUGGGGAUGCGUCUGAUUAGCUUGUUGGCGGGGUAACGGCCCACCAAGGCAACGAUCAGUAGGGGUUCUGAGAGGAAGGUCCCCCACAUUGGAACUGAGACACGGUCCAAACUCCUACGGGAGGCAGCAGUGAGGAAUAUUGGUCAAUGGGCGAGAGCCUGAACCAGCCAAGUAGCGUGCAGGACGACGGCCCUAUGGGUUGUAAACUGCUUUUAUAAGGGAAUAAAGUGAGUCUCGUGAGACUUUUUGCAUGUACCUUAUGAAUAAGGACCGGCUAAAUUCCGUG